GCUGUGGCCUGGCCCCCGCGGGGUUAACAGUGAUGCUCCCCUCCCUUCCCAGUGGCUGCUCACCUCUCAUUCCCUCCUCUGCCCCUCUCAGGUCCACCCCCUUGCCUGGCCUCUGCUUUUGGGGACCCCAGGGUUUUGCUCUCUGCUGAGCCCCAGGAGGGCAGCCCCCAGCCCCACCCUAAGAGGCUGGAGGCCAGUCCUUUCCCUGCAGGGGUUCAGGCAUGGUCCCCCACCCCUCCGGGACUGAGGAGUAGCAUCCCCAGAGCCCACGCCCCCAGGGACGACAGAAUCCAGGCCCCCAGCUCCACCUCCUCCUGAGUCUUGUCGGACUCCCAGCCACCCCGGAGCCAAAGAGUGGGACCCCAACCCUGCCAGGCAGGCGCCUGAGCCCCGCCCCUCCUCCCUCAGACACAGAGCUUGGCCCUCCAACUUCUCCCACGGACUCCGGGGCCUGGCCAGCAGCCCCUGCCUCCCCCAGGACUCUAGAGUUCCACUCUGUUCUUCCCCAGGACCCGGGAGCCCUGGCUUCCUCCUGUCCCAGCCCAGCAGCCUGGGUGCCUAGCUCUGUCCUCCAGUGCCCCCCCCCCAGCUCUGGCCUUCCUACUAGCCCCACUGAGAUCCUGUACACCGCACAGACUGUCCCCAAACUGAGGAGGAGGAGGAGGAGGAGGGUGCCAGAGAUUCCUGGGCUGUCCCUGUUUCUGUUGCUUCCCCCACCCCGGCAUCCCAGAAGAGGGGAGCGACCACUUUGAGGAUCCAUAGCUUCCUCCUUCAGUCAUGCUGCAGACAGUGUCUGCCCCCCACCCCGGGUCUCCCCACCCAGGUCCGGGCAGGCGAGAGGCUGGAAGGGCAUUCCAGAACCUUGAGGAGGGGGUGGCAGCCCGGGGCAAGGGUGCCGGGGGCCUAGAUGCCCUCAAGGUCCUUGGCAGGAGUAUUAAUAGCAGACUCAUAGCGCUGAGAGGGGAGGGGCGAGCCGGAGCAGAGCGGGAGAGGGACGCCGGCUACGGGGAGCCCGAUGCAGGAGGGGGUGCAGAGAUAGAGGAGUCAGGUUGCGGCCACCCGGACUAGGCGAGGACGAGGCUACACAUGUUGCUCUGGAAGUUGGGCCCCGGACAUUGCGGAGGCUGUCGGGGUGUCCUCUUGCGGCCUCGACCCCGUGGGGAUCCCCCCUCCACCCACCAGGGGUGCCCCCCUCUGCCGCUUCAGCCCCGGCUCCUCCCCCCUGUCCAUGUGCCCCAUCCCUCCUCUCCCUGGCUCAUUUGCACCCCCCUUUGUGCCC
rnacentral:lncRNA from 1 species